rnacentral:rRNA from 1 species
UGAGGAAUCUUGCGCAAUGGGGGGAACCCUGACGCAGCAACGCCGCGUGAGUGAGGAAGGCUUUCGGGUCGUAAAGCUCUGUCAGAUGGGAAGAAAUGGAUGGAAGCCAAUACCUUUCAUUCUUGACGGUACCAUCAGAGGAAGCACCGGCUAACUCCGUGCCAGCAGCCGCGGUAAUACGGGGGGUGCAAGCGUUGUUCGGAAUCAUUGGGCGUAAAGCGCGCGCAGGCGGCUUGGUAAGUCAGAUGCGAAAUCCCUGGGCUUAACGCAGGAAGUGAAUUUGAGAGUGCCUCGGUAGAGUACGGGAGAGGAAAGUGGAAUUCCUGGUGUAGAGGUGAAAUUCGUAGAUAACAGGAGGAACAACGGUGGCGAAGGCGACUUUCUGGCGCGAUACUGACGCUCAGGCGCGAAAGCGUGGGGAGCAAA